rnacentral:rRNA from 1 species
UGGGGAAUAUUGCGCAAUGGGGGAAACCCUGACGCAGCGACGCCGCGUGCGGGAUGAAGGCCUUCGGGUUGUAAACCGCUUUUGAUUGGGAGCAAGCUUUCGGGUGAGUGUACCUUUCGAAUAAGCGCCGGCUAACUACGUGCCAGCAGCCGCGGUAAUACGUAGGGCGCAAGCGUUAUCCGGAAUUAUUGGGCGUAAAGCGAGCGCAGGCGGUUAGAUAAGUCUGAAGUUAAAGGCAGUGGCUCAACCGGGGAGGGUCAUUGGAAACUGGUUGACUUGAGUGCAGAAGAGGAGAGUGGAAUUCCAUGUGUAGCGGUGAAAUGCGUAGAUAUAUGGAGGAACACCAGUGGCGAAGGCGACUCUCUGGUCUGUAACUGACGCUGAGGCUCGAAAGCGUGGGUAGCAAACAGG